AGAUUGAACGCUGGCGGCAGGCCUAACACAUGCAAGUCGAGCGGUAGAGAGGUGCUUGCAUCUCUUGAGAGCGGCGGACGGGUGAGUAAUGCCUAGGAAUCUGCCUAGUGGUGGGGGAUAACGUUCGGAAACGGACGCUAAUACCGCAUACGUCCUACGGGAGAAAGCGGGGGACCUUCGGGCCUCGCGCCAUUAGAUGAGCCUAGGUCGGAUUAGCUAGUUGGUGAGGUAAUGGCUCACCAAGGCGACGAUCCGUAACUGGUCUGAGAGGAUGAUCAGUCACACGUGGAACUGAGACACGGUCCAGACCUCCGUACGGAGGCAGCAGUAGGGAAUAUGGACAA
rnacentral:rRNA from 1 species